GCAAAUGCGAUGAACAGGUAUAAAGAUAUAGUUAGUUGCUUUCAGAGAGCUACUGGUUGGUGCGAAGUAGUAGAACGGUUAUAUUGAAACUCCCCUGUGAGCAGCGAUGGUGAAAUCAAGUAGUCAUCGACGGUAGUUCCGUUAUAACUGUGAGAACCAACUAGGGUGGGACCGUGUUAUUGAAAUGAUAAUGCCCCUUGA
rnacentral:ncRNA from 1 species